CCAAUCGAACUCGGAGAUAGCUGGUUCUCCCCGAAAUAGCUUUAGGGCUAGCGUUGUGUUAGUUUACCGGAGGUAGAGCACUGAAUUGGCUAGGGGGCGAUGAGCUUACUGAACCUUAUCAAACUUCGAAUGCCGGAUAAAUGGUGCACAGCAGUCAGACAGUGUGAGAUAAGUUUCAUUGUCAAGAGGGAAACAGCCCAGACCCACAGCUAAGGUCCCAAAUGAACGCUAAGUGGAAAACGAUGUGGGGUUGCAAAAACAACCAGGAUGUUGGCUUAGAGGCAGCCACUCAUUAAAAGAGUGCGUAAUAGCUCACUGGUCGAGUGACCCUGCGCGGAAAAUAUAACGGGGCUAAGCGUCCAACCGAAGCUUGGGAUGUCUGAUGACAUGGUAGGGGAGCGUCGUGUACGGGGUGAAGCAUGAGCGAGAGCACAUGUGGACUUUACACGAGUGAGAAUGCCGGAAUGAGUAGCGAGAAUUAUGUGGGAAUCAUAAUGGCCGAAAAUCUAAGGUUUCUUGGGGAAGGUUCGUCCGCCCAAGGUAAGCCGGGAGCUAAGGCGAGGCCGAAAGGCGUAGUCGAUGCACAUACGGUUGAAAUUCCGUAGCCGCCGAAAUUGUUAAGCACAGGGACACAUAGAGAUAUCCGAACCCGGGCGUUGGUUGACCCGGGCGCAAGGGACCGAACAUCAGUAGGGAAGUCGGAGAUGCUCUGUGGCGAGAAAAGCUGUGCGUAUUGAUUAGGCGCCCGUACCGCAAACCGACACAGGUAGAUGAGGAGAGAAUCCUAAGGCCAACGGGAGAAGGGUUGUUAAGGAACUCGGCAAAUUGACCCCGUAACUUCGGGAAAAGGGGAGCCUCCUACGGGAGGCCGCAGAGAAUAGGCCCAAGCAACUGUUUACCAAAAACACAGGUCUCUGCUAAAUCGAAAGAUGACGUAUAGGGGCUGACGCCUGCCCGGUGCCGGAAGGUUAAGAGGAGAGCUUAGCGCAAGCGAAGGUUCGAAUUGAAGCCCCGGUAAACGGCGGCCGUAACUAUAACGGUCCUAAGGUAGCGAAAUUCCUUGUCAGGUAAGUUCUGACCCGCACGAAUGGCGUAAUGAUUUGGGCACUGUCUCAACAGCCCGCCCGGCGAAAUUGUAGUACUGGUGAAGAUGCCAGUUACCCGCAACUAGACGGAAAGACCCCAUGGAGCUUUACUGUAGCUUAAUACUGAAGAUCGGUAAUGCAUGUACAGGAUAGGUGGGAGCCUAGGAAACCCGGGCGUCAGCUUGGGCGGAGGCAACCUUGGAAUACCACCCUUGUAUUGCUGGUUUUCUAACCUGCGGCCAUGAAUCUGGUCGGGGGACACUGUUAGGUGGGCAGUUUGACUGGGGCGGUCGCCUCCAAAAGCGUAACGGAGGCGCUCAAAGGUUGGCUCAGCACGGACGGAAAUCGUGCAUAGAGUGCAAACACAUAAGCCAACUUGACUGCGAGACCGACGGGUCGAGCAGGUACGAAAGUAGGAGUUAGUGAUCCGG
rnacentral:rRNA from 1 species